rnacentral:rRNA from 1 species
AGUGUGAAGGCAUANAGCCUUCACUUUUGUACACCGUAAGGUGGUGUACGAAUAAGGGCUGGGCAAGACCGGUGCCAGCCGCCGCGGUAAUACCGGCAGCCCGAGUGAUGGCCGAUAUUAUUGGGCCUAAAGCGUCCGUAGCUGGCCGGACAAGUCCGUUGGGAAAUCUGUUCGCUUAACGAGCAGGCGUCCAGCGGAAACUGUUCGGCUUGGGACCGGAAGACCUGAGGGGUACGUCCGGGGUAGGAGUGAAAUCCUGUAAUCCUGGACGGACCACCGGUGGCGAAAGCGCCUCAGGAGAACGGAUCCGACAGUGAGGGACGAAAGCUAGGGUCUCGAACCGGAUUAGAUACCCGGGUAGUCCUAGCUGUAAACGAUGCCCGCUAGGUGUGGCGCAGGCUACGAGCCUGCGCUGUGCCGUAGGGAAGCCGAGAAGCGGGCCGCCUGGGAAGUACGUCUGCAAGGAUGAAACUUAAAGGAAUUGGCGGGGGAGCACUACAACCGGAGGAGCCUGCGGUUUAAUUGGACUCAACGCCGGACAUCUCACCAGCUCCGACAGUAGUAAUGACGGUCAGGUUGAUGACCUUACCCGAUGCUACUGAGAGGAGGUGCAUGGCCGCCGUCAGCUCGUACCGUGAGGCGUCCUGUUAAGUCAGGCAACGAGCGAGACCCGCACUCCUAAUUGCCAGCAGUACCCUUUGGGUAGCUGGGUACAUUAGGUGGACUGCCGCUGCUAAAGCGGAGGAAGGAACGGGCAACGGUAGGUCAGUAUGCCCCGAAUGAGCUGGGCAACACGCGGGCUACAAUGGUCGAGACAAUGGGAUGCAACUCCG